UGCGCGCGGCGACCAAUGCGCAGGCGCCGCUGAGCUUUCUUGAGAAGCGGAGCGGGAGGCGCGGACUCCCAGGUCUCAGAGAGCGGCGCGAGCGGCUGGCGGCGGCCGUGGGCGGCCGUGGGCGGCGGGGGCGCGUUCUCGCGGUGCCCGGCGUGGGCAGGGAUGAGAGUCCUUGGUGUCCUCGGUCGGUCUGGCCUCACAGCCGCGAGGCGGGGGUCCUGGCCACCCCCUGGACCGCGCGUACCUGAGCGCCGUGCGUUUCCUCUGAGGAGGGUGGGUCCCCGCCGCGGCCCCCUCCCUGGCGGCUGUCCUAGUCUCUGUCCCCGCGCAGAGAAACCUCCAGCUCCUGACCCCGUGACCCCGGGGACGCGCUGCGGACGCGGUUCUGUACAGUAGUGAGGGAGUCGCCGGCAGAGUGGACAGUGAGAGAGAGAAAAAAGUCUUCUUUUCCAUCGGUUUACCCCCCAAUUGCCACUGCAGCCUGCCAGCUGCGGCCGGUGCAUCACGCUGAUCCGAAGCAAGGAGCCAGGUGCUUCUCCUGGUCUCCCAAGUGGGUGCAGGACCCAAAGACUUGGGCUGUCCUCCACUGCACUCCUGGGCCAUAGCAGAGAGCUGGACUGGAAGAGGAGCGACUGAGACAGAAUCCGGCACCCCGACCAGGACUAGAACCCCGGGUACCGGCACUGCAGGCAGAGGAUUAACCUAUUGAGCCAUGGUGCCGGGCACUGGCUCAGUAUUAAGAACUUUGUACCAAUAAUGGACCAGGCUCCAAGACUCCAAAAAUGCUAAGAAUUUUCCAACAUUGGAAGAGCUUUAGUAGGGCAGUUUGACCAGUUGCCAGGAUUAGUGUAACACACAAUACUAAAUCAGCUGAGAGGAAUCAAUUAAAUGUGAUUUUAGAUCUGUGAUUCCAUGAUUGUGUGCAUCAGUGUACUCAUGUGUUUUCACAAAAAAACAAAUGUGGAAAGUGAAAAACUGGGUCACUAUUGGAAGCGAAGCUCUGAUCGAAGCCAUUCACCGAUGACCUGUAAGUACACCAUUUAUCCUUCUAACACUAAGUUACUCAACUGCAAAGGAUUUUCUUACAUUCCAUUCAGCUUUUGCAUACCAUGGCUUGCUUGUUCUGGCCCUGGCCUUUUAUUCUUGUCAUUCCUGCCACUUGAUAAGCCUCCCACUCCAGUUGUUCUGAAGCCCUAUCAGACUGGAAUCACCUUGUCCACGUGCAUGCUCAAUUUGAUUUCAUACAUCAAGAUGUGGUGGUGUGGAUGUCUCACCACUAAAUGUCACUUCUAUGCAAGUCUUGCUUCAGGGCCCCAGACAGGUGACCACAUCUGGUCACCUUUAGGUAAACGUAGUGACCUUAGUGAUUUCUCCAUCAUUUCAUGUUGAAAACCCCAGUACAUCCAGAAUUGUUUGCACAUGCGUUUCUUCUGUCUCUGCUUAUGGAGUUUAUUCUUUUUUUCUUUUCCUUCCUUUUUUCUUUCUGUGGUAGCCAUGACUCCUGCUAUCUUCCCUUUCCUACUAUCUAGCUAAUCUAAUUGCCCUUAGCAAAUCUUUAGUCACACUGCCCUUAUUCUUUUCUCAUCUUAACUAUUAUAUUCCUCUGAUUUAAGUUUUUCCAGACAGUUGAGGAUUCCGUGACUAUGACCAUUUUACAGAUACGAACUUAAGGGCACAAUCACAACCAUAGAAGGAAGUUGCAACCUUCUUUUCUCAUUAAGAUCCUACAGAAAUCUCAAAGUAAGAAGCUAAAGGAUUGGAAGUAAUUCUAAAAGACUUGACUAAUGUGGCAGAUCAGUGUUUUAUCUGGAACUGUUGCUGGUACAGGCCACAAAGGCAUUUGCCAAGACAGACACACACACACACACACACACACCCCCUCUGUGUUCUGCUUUGGGAAGUAACCAGGACCUUGGACAAUCUUACUGAAUCUACCAGCUCUACAUGAACUGCUGCCAGUGUGCUCUAAAUUGUCUGGGACUACAUGAUUCUGACUUCACCAGGUGCACUUGUACAGUGGGCAGAAGCAACUGCUAUGUCUGCAUUCUGCAUUCCCUGAAAUCUUUCUGAUGUCUCUGCCAUCACCAAAAUUAUCCAGAUUGAAACUGAGAAAUUCCCAGCAGGGUUUAUUCCAAACAAUUUAUUUCUAAAUUGUAUAAGAUCUUACAAUUGCCAUUUGUGUGUUGGUGGAGCACCAAGCUUUAAAUUCUCAAUGUUGUUCAUGCUCAGGCCUAUACUCCUACCCACAAUUUCAGCUCCUUCCCCAGCUUGUUAGCAACCCCUGCCUCCAAAACCCUCCAAAAUUCCAAGAGAGUUCUCUCCCAUGCUCCUCUAUGUAGUUGUAAUGAAUUGUCUCCCUCCUUUCUCCCUCAACUCAGCCAAGUGGGUCACUUUCUGAAUAUGCUGGUGGUAAUGACACCAACAGUGGAGGAUCCAUUGGAAUCAGUAUUCUGUUGCUCUCUGCCUUGCAAAGUAAAGGUUUUGCCAGGCUUGUAUAUUAUAUACAGCAACAUACGCACUGGCAGUGCAAGCCAAGUCUUUGGGCAAAUUAUGAAAAAGUGUCAACUCUAGGAUAGAGGGUGUCCCUUCACACCUCCAGGGCCACCAGGGCCAGGCUUAAUGGAAUAUCCCUAUAGCUAGGAGACUCGAGCCCCACCCAUUCUCCCCAGAAGGACUUUGUGAGCUGCCCGGACUCCCAACCAUCCACAGUAGCCCUCUACAAGUAUCCAGGGGAGUGUUGAUCCACACAAGCUUUCCCUAGGCUAACCCUGCUCACACAAAAGCCUUUACCCUCUAUAAUUCCCUACUGGUUCAUACUCUGUCAUUUAUUUGCUUGCAAGUUGAAUUUCAGUGAAGAAGUGGAGAAAGAUGUUAUAAUAUGUGAUCCUGUUAGUUUGCCAAGGGUCACACUUUUGAUAUGGUUGGUAAGUACAUCCUCUGGAGGGAGGCAUUGUGGCCUAGAAAGGACACGAAUGUGAAUCAGAAGGGGCUGGUGCUGUGACAUAGUGGGUAAAGCCACUGCCUGCAGUGCUGGCAUCCCUUAUGGGCACCAGUUCGAGUCCCAGCUACUCCACUUCUGAUCCAGCUCUCUGCUAUGGCUUGAGAAAGCCCUAAAGGAUGGCCCAAGUCCUUGGGACCCUGAACCCAUGUGGGACACCUGGAAGAGGCUCUUGGCUCCUGGCUUCAGAUUGAUGCAGCUCUGGCCAUGGUGGCCAUCUGGGGAGUGAACCAGCAGAUGGAAGACCUCUCUCUCUCUUUGCCUUUGCCUCUCUGUAAUUCUGCCUUUCAAAUAAAUAAUAAAUAAAUCUUUUAAAAAAUAUGUGAAUCAGGCCGGCGCCGUGGCUCAAUAGGCUAAUCCUCCACCUUGCGGCGCCGGCGCACCGGGUUCUAGUCCCUGUUGGGACGCCGGAUUCUGUCCCGGUUGCCCCUCUUCCAGGCCAGCUCUCUGCUAUGGCCAGGGAGUGCAGUGGAGGAUGGCCCAGGUGCUUGGGCCCUGCACCCCAUGGGAGACCAGGAAAAAAGCACCUGGCUCCUGGCUCCUGCCAUCGGAUCAGCCCGGUGCGCCGGCUGCAGCGGCGGCCAUUGGAGGGUGAACCAACGGCAAAAGGAAGACCUUUCUUUCUCUGUCUCUCUCUCUCACUGUCCACUCUGCCUGUCAAAAAAAAAAAAAAUAUGUGAAUCAGAGGAGUCUGAUGUUUGCAUGCCACUUAUUCUAGUCACUGCUAGAACUUCAUUUUCUCGUCAUAAGAUGGGGACAAUAAUACUUUCUGUAUUGUGGUACUAUUGUGCAGAUUAAAUACGCAGAUAUGUAGUGUGCUAUGCACCCAAUUUCUAAAUGCCUUAAAUAUUUGUCUUUAACCAUUAUCAUACUACAAUCUUACCUCUAUAAUGGAAUUAUUUAACUCUCAAAUACAUACCAAUAUAAUUAAAUAUCUAACACUAUACUCAAAAUAUCAGCUUAAGGGACUUUUUUCAAUUCGGCAAUGGAUAUGUAUGAAGGUUGCUUCAAAAAGUUCAUGUAGGGUCUGGCGCUGUAUUGUAGCCAGCAAAGCCAUCACCUGCGGUACCUGUUUGAAUCCCAGCUGCUCCAUUUCCAAACCAGCCCCCUACUAAUGGCCUGGGAAAGCAGUGGAAGAUGGCCCUAGUGCUUGGGCCCCUGCACCCAUGUGGGAGACCUCGAUGAAGUUUUUGGUUCCUGGCUUCAGUGUGGCCCAACCCUGGCUGUUGCAGUCACUUGGGGAGUGAACCAUCAGAUGGAAGAUAUAUCUCUCUCUUCUCUGUAUGUGUAUGUGUCUCCCUGUCUCUGUGUAACUCUGACUUUAAAAUAAAUAUAAACAUCUUUUUUUAAAGUUCAUGGAAAAAAAAAAACCCUCUCAUAGGCAGUAUUUCAAAAAUUCUUUGAAACAAAAUAAACUUAUCUUUACUUAAAUUUUCUGUGAACUUCUUGAAUACUUUUGUACUUGCUAUUAGCUCAUUGGCAGUAGGGGGCAGCAGUGCACAUGUGUUGCAUAUGAAAAGGGAUACUGUGCUUUGGAAGACCAGACACUAGGUCAGACCAGUCUAUGCAGUAAGCAGAAACUCCUUCCUUUUGACUUCCUGAAACCUGUCUUUGAAGGCAAUUCCCUGAAGAUUAAAAAAAAAAAAAAUGACACCGGCUCUUUUUUUUUUUCUUUUUGUACCUUUGUAUUUAUUUCUUGUUUCUGAAAAUUUCAAGAUGUCCUCUCUGUACUUUGAAAGAGUGUUCAGCACUGGUAAGCUAAGAUGUAUUUGUUGGAUUCUAUUGCAAUGGACUUUCCUUAUGUGUUAUGCUGUAUUCUUAGCCAUAGUUUAAUAUGUUGAAAAGGGACCGAAAAAUAUAUUCAGCUUUUGAAUAUAGAAUUAAACAGAAUUAUGCUUGAUGUAGCUACAAAAAAAAUUGAAACGUAUGGUUUGAAUAACCCUGCUAAUUACUCACAAAUAUGCUAUCAAUGCUAAAAAUAAUUGUCGCUCCCCCUCUUCGUGGAGGAGCAACACAGGACCCUGCGCUGUUCUUCUGUCUGCUCGGCCCUCCCCGGGUUUGCUGCUGGUUCUUCCCGGGUUGGCUACUAUCCCUUCCACCUCCGUGGAAGGGCAGUUCCCCCUGGCCACAUUCCCCACUUCCGCAGGGGAGCGGCACACUGCCGGCCGGCUUUCUCGGGGGCUGCACAGGUGUUCCCUCAGAUGUUCCCCUUAGAUGUUCCUGGUGCAUGCCGUCUCUCUCCUCCUUUAUAGUCCUCCUCUGCCAAUCCCAACUCGGCUGCCCACACGCCGAGUACGCUGCUCUCCUCCAAUCAGUAGCAAGUCCUACAGUUUAUUGGUUGAACUGGAGGCAGCUGUGCGGAAGCUGUUUACUUCUCUCCCAGUGCCAUAUUGUGGGAGAGCAGAUGCAUAGAAUAAGUCUUAAUUCCAGUAACUCAGUCCAGUCCGGGCUGCUCCCCACAAUAAUUAACAUUUAUUGCAUGUUUACUAAGUGCCAGGAACUUGAUUAAGUGUACUAUCCAAAUUAUUACCUAAGUUAAUCUUCACAGAUCUCUGUGAGGUAAGGAUCAUUGUCCCUGUUUCACAGAUGAGAAACUGAGGCUCUUGGACAAUAAAAAAAUUUUUAAGUCUCCUUCCUCUUCUGAUGGAUUUUUUUUCAAAGUUCUUAUUUGGCCAAGUUUUUGCUUGCCUGUUAGUCUAAUGUUUACUGGGGGAAAAAGUUAAAGUUCUAUUCUCUUUCUUUUUAAAGAUAUUCCCCUUCCACCAUAAAUGAAGAUUUUCUGAGGUCCUUUCUCGUUGAGAUGUGUUGGUGCCAAUUCAACUCCACAGAAUCCUUGCAGAACUCACAGUUAUGUCUAACAAAUGCCAAGAUGGUAAAAGCUAGGGCAUCUCUUAGACAGGAUUUUCGUUCUGUGGAUGUCAAUUUAGCUGAAUCUGUGAUUGCUAAAUUAUAACAUUUUGUGGGGCCGGCACUGUGACAUAGAAGGUUAAGCCUCUGCCUAAAGUGCCUGCAUCCCAUAUGGGUGCUGGUUUGAGUCCCAGCUGCUGUACCUCUGAUCUGGUUCCCUACUAAUGUGCCUGGGAGCAGCAGAAGAUGGUUCAAGCCCUUGGGCCCCUGCAACCAUGUGGGAGAUCCAAAAGAAGUUCCUGGCUCCUGGCUUCAGCCUGGCCCAUACCUGGCCAUCAUAGCCAUUUGGGGACUGAACCAGUGGAUGAAUGGAAGAUUCUCUCUGUCUCUCUCUCUCUCUCUCUCUCUCUUUCUCUCCUUCUCUCUAUGUAUUUCUGCCUUUUAAAUAAAUAAAUAAAUCUGAAAAAAAAUUUGUAACAGAAAAGAAAAAAAUCAGCCAGUUCUUAUUUUGUUUUCUACAAGAAUAUAUACCAAAUAUUUUUUGAAAAAUAAGAAUUUUUGGCCGGUGCCACAGCUCAAUAAGCUAAUCCUACACCUGCAGCGCCAGUACCCUGGGUUCUAGUCCCGGUCGGGGCACUGGAUUCUGUCCCAGUUGCUCCUCUUCCAGUCCAGCUCUCUGCUAUGGCCCGGGAAUGCAGUGGAGGAUGGCCCAAGUCCUUGGGCCCUGCACCCACAUGGGAGACCAGGAGAAGCACCUGGCUCCUGGCUUCAGAUCAGCGCGGUGCGCCGGCCGCAGCAGCCAUUGGGGAGUGAACCAACAGAAAAGGAAGACCUUUCUGUCUCUCACUGUCCACUCUGCCUGUCAAAAAAAAAGAA